UAGCUUUAAGAUUUUAUUUAAAGUUUUACCUGCCCGGUGGAACUCUUAACGGCCGCAGUACUUUGACUGUGCUAAGGUAGCAUAAUAAAUUGGCUUUUAAUUAAAGUCGGGUAUGAAAGGGACUUUGGAAGGUAGCUGUCUCAAGUAUAUUUUAUUUUAAUUUAAUUAAUGAGUGAAAAUUCUCAUAUUUUAAUACAUUAGACGAGAAGACCCUAAGAGUUAUAAUUAAAAUGAAUUUAUUUCAUAUAUCAUUUUUGUUGGGGCAACAAAGACUGGAUAAAACCGUCAUAAAAUAAAUUUUACAUAACUAAUAGUAUUUAAAAAGAAAUAAACUACCUUAGGGAUAACAGCAUAAUUAAUUUUUAGAUUGUGACCUCGAUGUUGGAUUAAGGACUUAAUUUACUAGCCGUAAAUUAAGAUAGUUCUGUUCGAACUGUAGUACCUU
rnacentral:rRNA from 1 species